rnacentral:hammerhead_ribozyme from 1 species
AUCCAGCUGACGAAUCCUAAAUAGGACGAAACGUGUUCCUGGAU